rnacentral:piRNA from 1 species
GUUUGUGGAGCCAGGGUUGUAAA